UGGCCAAUAGGGUGACAGGGAUCAGGUCAGCUGGCUUCUGGCCAAUAGGGUGACAGGGAUCAGGUCAGCUGGCUUCUGACCAAUAGGGUGACAGGGAUCGGGUCAGCUGGCUUCUGGCCAAUAGGGUGACAGGGAUCGGGUCAGCUGGCUUCUGGCCAAUAGGGUGACAGGGAUCGGGUCAGCUGGCUUCUGGCCAAUAGGGUGACAGGGAUCAGGUCAGCUGGCUUCUGGCCAAUAGGGUGACAGGGAUCAGGUCAGCUGGCUUCUGGCCAAUAGGGUGACAGAGAUCGGGUCAGCUGGCUUCUGGCCAAUAGGGUGACAGGGAUCAGGUCAGCUGGCUUCUGGCCAAUAGGGUGACAGGGAUCGGGUCAGCUGGCUUCUGGCCAAUAGGGUGACAGGGAUCAGGUCAGCUGGCUUCUGGCCAAUAGGGUGACAGGGAUCAGGUCAGCUGGCUUCUGGCCAAUAGGGUGACAGGGAUCAGGUCAGCUGGCUUCUGGCCAAUGGGGUGACAGGGAUCAGGUCAGCUGGCUUCUGGCCAAUGGGGUGACAGGGAUCAGGUCAGCUGGCUUCUGGCCAAUGGAGCAAAAGAGAUCAGGUCUGCAGGUUUCUGACAAAUGGGGGAUGACAGGGAUCAAGACAGCUGGAUUCUGGCCAAUGGGAUGACACAGAUCAGAGUUGAUGUAGAAGCCCAAACAAGGUGGGAUGAAGGAUGGAGUUUCCAAUGCCGCAGUCACAGAGACAUCAUGUACAGGUUG